GCGCCAGUAGCUCAGCUGGAUAGAGCAGCGGACUUCUAAUCCGCAGGCCGAGGGUUCGAAUCCUUCCUGGCGCGCCA
rnacentral:tRNA from 1 species